UACGUAGGUGGCAAGCGUUGUCCGGAUUUACUGGGCGUAAAGGGCGUGCAGGCGGUCUGUUAAGUGCAGGGUGAAAGCUCCCGGCUCAACUGGGAGAGGUCCUUGCAUACUGGCGGACUUGAGGGGGGUAGAGGAAAGUGGAAUUCCCGGUGUAGUGGUGAUAUGCGUAGAUAUCAGGAGGAACACCGAUGGCGAAGGCAGUGGUCUGGGCCGAUACUGACGCUGAGGAGCGAAAGCGUGGGGAGCGAACAGG
rnacentral:rRNA from 1 species